rnacentral:lncRNA from 1 species
AUCAUAGGUGUUUUAUCACGGUGAUGGAAAACUGAUGAAGUCACAUUGUCUGGUAAUCAGAUCUGAAGCAAUAAUGUACUACACGCAGCAGAUUUGGCAGGCGCAGUGGUUUCAAUGAGAUAUCCUCCAUAUGCCCAAGCAUCUGAAUACUUGGUCUCCCGUCGGUGGCCCUGUUUGGUAGGUUAAGGAGCUGGAGGAAGUGACCUUGCUAUAGAAAAUGAGUCAUUGUGGGCGGCCUUUGAGGUUUCAAAAGGCUUGAGCCAUUCCCGGUUUGCUCUCUCUGCUUCCCGUUUGUACAUUGAGUUGUGAGUCCUUAGCUCUCAGCUCCAGCUCCAGUUGCCAAGCCUGCCUGCUGUCACACUUGCCUGCCGUGAUGGUGGCACACUCUUAUCCCUCUGGAGCUGUAAACCCAAAGAAGCCCUUCCUUCUCUAAGUGGCCUUGGUCAUGGUGUUUUAUCAGAGCAAUGGAAAAGCAACUGACAUAGGCUUUCUGAGAAACAUCUGGAAGGAGAGAGGACAGCAGGGCAAAGCAGGCUCAGCCAAGUCCUCAGAUUGCCUGGGCACCCUAUCCAGGACAGCCUUGAAGAGCUGACCCAAGCAUGCGUACUGCCACUAGAAGGAGCUGUAACCCUUGGACUACACCUUUCUUCAGCAGCAGCAGCUCCUGGAAAGAUCCCUGGACAGUCAACACACAGUUUGUGCCAUCUCCUUUAAAGAAACUUGAAAACGUUAUAUUCCUUCCUGCAGCAAGAUCAAGAACAUCCUCAGGAGAAGAAAAAAAUGAAACAACACCACCCACUGCCCAGUGUUCAUCAGCAGAGGACACACUGAAUCUAUUGA